rnacentral:rRNA from 1 species
CCUACGGGAGGCUGCAGUAGGGAAUCUUUCACAAUGGGCGAAAGCCUGAUGGAGCAACGCCGCGUGCAGGAUGAAGGCCUUCGGGUUGUAAACUGCUUUUAUAAGCGAGAAAUAUGAUGGUAACUUAUGAAUAAGGAUCGGCUAACUACGUGCCAGCAGCCGCGGUCAUACGUAGGAUCCGAGCAUUAUCCGGAGUGACUGGGUGUAAAGAGUGGCGUAGGUGGCAUAAUAAGUAGCUAGUGAAAUCUGGUGGCUCAACCAUUCAUACUAUUAGCUAAACUGUUAAGCUCGAGACCGUUAGGGGUAACUGGAAUUUCUAGUGUAGGAGUGAAAUCCGUAGAUAUUAGAAGGAACACCAAUAGCGUAGGCAGGUUGCUGGGACGGUUCUGACACUAAGGCACGAAAGCGUAGGGAGCAAACGGGAUUAGAUACCCGAGUAGUC